rnacentral:rRNA from 1 species
UGGGGAAUAUUGCACAAUGGGCGCAAGCCUGAUGCAGCCAUGCCGCGUGUAUGAAGAAGGCCUUCGGGUUGUAAAGUACUUUCAGCGGGGAGGAAGGGAGUAAAGUUAAUACCUUUACUCAUUGACGUUACCCGCAGAAGAAGCACCGGCUAACUCCGUGCCAGCAGCCGCGGUAAUACGGAGGGUGCAAGCGUUAAUCGGAAUUACUGGGCGUAAAGCGCACGCAGGCGGUCUGUCAAGUCGGAUGUGAAAUCCCCGGGCUCAACCUGGGAACUGCAUCUGAUACUGGCAAGCUUGAGUCUCGUAGAGGGGGGUAGAAUUCCAGGUGUAGCGGUGAAAUGCGUAGAGAUCUGGAGGAAUACCGGUGGCGAAGGCGGCCCCCUGGACGAAGACUGACGCUCAGGUGCGAAAGCGUGGGGAGCAAACAGG